AUUGAACGCUGGCGGCAUGCCUAACACAUGCAAGUCGAACGGCAGCAUGGUCUAGCUUGCUAGACUGAUGGCGAGUGGCGGACGGGUGAGUAACGCGUAGGAAUAUGCCUUAAAAGAGGGGGAUAACUUGGGGAAACGUCAAGCUAAUACCGCAUAAGCUCUAAGGAGUAAAGACUGGGGACCUUCGGGCCUGGCGCUUUAAGAAUAGCCUGCGUACGAUUAGCUAGUUGGUGGGGUAAAGGACCUACCAAGGCGACGAUCGUUAGCUGGUCUGAGAGGACUGGCCAGCCACACUGGGACGUGAGACACGGCCCAGACUCCUACGGGAGGCGAGCAGUGGGGGAAUAUUGGACAAUGGGGGAACCCGUGAUCCAGCAAUGCGCGUGUGUGAAG
rnacentral:rRNA from 1 species